CUGAUUGGCUUUUCCUUAGCACGCCUAUCAAGAAAGGACCGGCUCAAGCCGGUCCUUUCUUUUUGCGUGU
rnacentral:misc_RNA from 1 species